rnacentral:rRNA from 1 species
GACGUAGGGGGCCAGCGUUGUUCGGAAUUACUGGGUGUAAAGGGUUCGUAGGCGGUGUGGCAAGUCGGGAGUGAAAUCUCUGGGCUCAACCCAGAGUCUGCUUCCGAAACUGCUGUGCUUGAGUUUGGGAGAGGCGCGUGGAAUUGCAGGUGUAGCGGUGAAAUGCGUAGAUAUCUGCAGGAACACCCGUGGCGAAAGCGGCGCGCUGGACCACUACUGACGCUGAGGAACGAAAGCUAGGGGAGCAAACAGG